rnacentral:rRNA from 1 species
AAUGAACGUUGGCGGCGUGGAUUAGGCAUGCAAGUCGAGCGAGAACCCCGCAAGGGGGGACAGCGGCAAACGGGGUAGGAAUGCGUAGGCGACGUACCCUGAGGACCGGGAUAGCCACGGGAAACUGUGGGUAAUACCGGAUGAUCUCCACCGGCAUGAGGGCUGGGGGAGCAAAUGGUGAGAUUCCGCCUUGGGAGCGGCUUACGUGGUAUCAGGUAGUUGGUGAGGUAACGGCUCACCAAGCCGAAGACGCCUGGGGGGUGUGAGAGCAUGGCCCCCACCACUGGGACUGAGACACUGCCCAGACACCUACGGGUGGCUGCAGUCGAGAAUCUUCGGCAAUGGGCGCAAGCCUGACCGAGCGACGCCGCGUGCGGGAUGAAGGCCUUCGGGUUGUAAACCGCUGUCAGAGGGGACGAAAUGUGGGAGGGUUCUCCCUCUCGUUUGACGGAGCCUCAGAGGAAGCACGGGCUAAGUUCGUGCCAGCCGCCGCCGUAAAAC